rnacentral:piRNA from 1 species
UGCCCAGAAUAAGGUGCUCUCUGACCAGCC